rnacentral:rRNA from 1 species
UACGUAGGGUGCGAGCGUUAAUCGGAAUUACUGGGCGUAAAGCGUGCGCAGGCGGUUUUGUAAGCCAGAUGUGAAAUCCCCGGGCUCAACCUGGGAAUGGCAUUUGGGACUGCAAGGCUGGAGUACGGCAGAGGAGACUGGAAUUCCUGGUGUAGCAGUGAAAUGCGUAGAUAUUGGGAGGAACACCAGUGGCGAAGGCGGCUACCUGGACCGGUUCUGACGCUGAGGCGCGAAAGCGUGGGUAGCAAACAGG